ACCCUGUAACUCAGCCAUCAGAG
rnacentral:miRNA from 1 species